rfam:Parcubacteria bacterium GW2011_GWA2_33_14 TR31_C0015, whole genome shotgun sequence.
GGACGAUUAGCUCAAUUGGCAGAGCGACUGAUUUACACUCAGUAGGUUGCAGGUUCGAGUCCUGCAUCGUCCA